rnacentral:rRNA from 1 species
UACGUAGGGGGCAAGCGUUGUCCGGAAUCAUUGGGCGUAAAGAGCGUGUAGGCGGCCCGAUAAGUCCGCUGUGAAAGUCCAGGGCUCAACCCUCGGAUGCCGGUGGAUACUGUCGGGCUUGAAUCCGGGAGAGGGGUGUAGAAUUCCAGGUGUAGCGGUGAAAUGCGUAGAUAUCUGGAGGAAUACCGGUGGCGAAGGCGGCAUCCUGGACCAUAACUGACGCUGAGGCGCGAAAAGCUAGGGGAGCAAACGGGG